rnacentral:rRNA from 1 species
UACAGAGGUCUCAAGCGUUUGUUCGGAUUCAUUGGGCGUAAAGGGUGCGUAGGCGGCGCGGUAAGUCGGGUGUGAAAUCUCGGAGCUUAACUCCGAAACUGCAUUCGAUACUGCCGUGCUUGAGGACUGGAGAGGAGACUGGAAUUUACGGUGUAGCGGUGAAAUGCGUAGAUAUCGUAAGGAAGACCAGUGGCGAAGGCGGGUCUCUGGACAGUUCCUGACGCUGAGGCACGAAGGUCAGGGAGCAAACGGG